UCAUUGACACUUUCCAGUAGACACAGGCUCCUCUGAGGGUGCGUGUAGCAUGUAGUAUCUAUGGUGCUGUGUUCCUCUUCCCCUUCUGCCUGCAGGCAAGAGAAGGAAAGAGGGAGCACGUAGGGAUCACUAAGGACAAUCCAGGCAGCCGACUCUGAGAGUCCAACUAACAGAUGUGCUAACCGGGCGUCCUGGUAAGUUUUAGAAAAUGCAGAUGCCACUAAAUUCUCCAGCUAUGACCUUUGUAGAACAGACCAGCAAGAAAUCUGCUUUCAGAGUCUUCUGGGGACAGCAGGAAUGAGGAAGAGGGGAGAGUAUCUCCUCUCCAGGUACCUGGUGAUGCUGGACCUCUCCGGCUGUGCCAGGAGCAUGCAUGAAAAGCAGAGUCCUUCACAGGCACGUAAAGGAUUGGUCAGCAGCCAGGAAACGUGGGUUCUAGAAUCUGACUUCAGCAACUGAGAUGUCUAAUGUGGAUCUACAUACCAGCUUUGGAUGCAUGGAUUCAGAUUGAACUUAGGGUAUCUUCCAUGCUAAGCAAAUGUUUGGCCACUGAAUACACCUCCAGCCAACAAGCACAUCCUGGAUAGAUGGAUGAGUAGAUGAGUAUGGAGUGGAUCCAAUACUAGACAGCAAACCCGAGUCCUCGUGUGUGAGCCUCCUCCAUUUCCUAAAGCCCUUGCCCUCAAGAGUACAUGGGCCUUGUAAUAGUCUUUCUUUUGGGGAGGGGAGGUGUUCGAGACAGGAUUUCUCUACAUAGCCUUGGCCACCCUAGAGCUUGUUCUGAAGACUAGACUGGCCUUGAACUCACAGAGACCUGCUUGGAAUUAAAGUGCUGGAAUUAAAGGCCUGCACCACCACCAUCACCUUGCUCGGCCUUAUAAUAUUCUUGCUCAGUCCAGUGACAAGGAAGUACCAGACCGCUCCAAAUGGUGGGACUCUCUCCAGAAUAACCCCUGCAGCUGAACGAGAACAUUGGUCAUGGCAGAACAGAGAAUGCCACGUGACAACAGCCCUGAUUAAAAUGGCAUGACAACUAAAUGACCACAGACAAGAGACAAACGGACAGAAAGUGCACUCUUGGGACAACUGCUGAAUACAGGACACACAGAUGAGUCAAUGGACAUUUCAGCACAACAUCCUCAGACUCUAACCUCGCUUCCUUGGAUCCUUUCACCCAGCAGCACCUGCCUUUAAUGACUCAUUGUGUACUCGACUGACUCGUCUUGCUUAUUGCCUGCCUCCCACAGCAAAGCCUCGGUCUAGGACAGCAGUGAGUUUCACAGCUUCUGGUCUCUGUGCUAUGACAGCAUCUGAGCAGGGCAGACCUACCACAAAGAAUCAGCGAUGAAUAAAUGGUGCAUUGGGUGAUCUGCCAGACCAUGCUUCCCUGGCUCCAAAAUAAAGGCAUCUAACUAAAGGUCUUACAACCCCCAGUUUCGCAUCAUGUGCUGCGACUCGAGCUCAGCUCCGAGACAGAAAGUCAGCGGGCAUCACGGAGGCCCUUGACGGUAGCUGGAAUCUUCCCAGGUGCACCCGCAGUCCACAGGUUUAUUUGGACAUGAUCACUGUUUUGCGACAGACAAUAUUACCCACUCCACUCUACACAGGGGAAUUGUGACCCAGAGAACUGAAGUCGCUCACUUGAGAUUGAACUUUUUAAAAAGCAACCAGGAUGCUCACGGGCAAUUUGGUUCCAAUGAACUUCUAUUUAGACCUACUAUGUGCUUGCAACGAAAAUCACCACAUAGAAUCAAUAUUUGGGACCAUGGGUGAUGGGUAUUUAUGCUACUUUCAAAGCCAAUUUCCUCUUUUUCCUCAGAAGCCGUUGUGGGUGGGGGGAAUGGCAACAGGACUAUUUGAAUCUCUUUUGUCAAUAUUCUUUUUACCUGCCAAAGAGAACAUUCUGCGAUCACACAAGAAGCUGUUCUCGGCACAAUACCUCCUAUUAUCGCUUGAAUCAAUGGCUCCAGGCUUGGGGCAAGAGCAUUGUGUCUUUCUUAAGGAAAGAAAGAAAGAAAGAUCCUUUGAGAUUCCUAAGCAUGCUGAUUGGGUUUUUGGUCUAUUGUGAGGUGUGGUUCCUCCUGCCCCAUUACAAACCUGCACAUUACCCGGCUGCCGUGGACUCAGUGAAAAGAGACAAAGCUAUGAGGUUCUGAUUUUCCACCCACAGUGUUUGGUAAAAGCAGUGUUGGGUGGGGGCGUGGGGUGGUGUUAGGUCAGCAGGAGUGCUGUACAGGGAGGGCUUAUGCUCUGAUUUGUAAGUAAGCCCUGGGAGGCAACAUUGCUGCUUCUAAGGGCACCAAAGCAUGCUAUUUUAGAACACCGAUUCCUGGCCCAGAACUUCUGGGGUUCAACUCCUAGGGCCACCACACAUGGGCUCUGCGACCUUAGGUCCAUCACCCAAUCUCUCUGUGCUUUCUUCCCUGGGUGGUAUGAGAAAUAUAGAAAUUCACUCAGCCCAGUUACCCUCCAGUGCCAAGGAUGACUGGAUCCAGGAUCCCUGUGAAUGCCAAAUUCCAUGGGAUUCCAGGGGCCUCACGUAAAAUGGCAUAAUAUUUACAUAUAACCCGUGCACAUCCUGCUGUAUACUCCAGUUCAUCCUCGGAUUAUUUAUGAAGGGCACUGCAUGUUCUAUAAGUAGCUGACACGCUGUUCUCUGAGGGAAUGAUAACAAAAAUAGAAGUCCGUGCACAUUCAGGACAGAUGCAGUUUUUGUCAUUUUGUU
rnacentral:sRNA from 1 species